UUUUAGUGCUGUAUCACCAAGUGGGAUUAAGGUUUGAACGGAACCCUUUCCAUAAGAUUUUGUUCCAAUCAAAACUGCACGGCGAUGAUCUUGAAGUGCACCGGCAACAAUUUCCGCCGCAGAUGCAGAAGCUCCGUUUAUAAUAACAACAAGUGGUUUGUUAUCCAAAACAUCACCUUCGGAUGCGAAAAAUACACGACUUCCAUCCUUUUGUCGGGACAUAAUUGAAACAAUUUCUCCUUCAUUUAAAAAGGCAUCGGAAAUUUUUACCGCCUGGUCAAGAAGACCGCCAGUGUUGUUUCGUAA
rnacentral:ncRNA from 1 species